rnacentral:rRNA from 1 species
GGUGAGUAACGCGUGAGUAACCUGCCUUCAANAGGGGGAUAACAUUCUGAAAAGAAUGCUAAUACCGCAUGACAUAUCGGAACCACAUGGUUUUGAUAUCAAAGAUUUUAUCGCUUGAAGAUGGACUCGCGUCCGAUUAGUUAGUUGGUGAGGUAACGGCUCACCAAGACCGCGAUCGGUAGCCGGACUGAGAGGUUGAACGGCCACAUUGGGACUGAGACACGGCCCAGACUCCUACGGGAGGCAGCAUG